UCCUCUUUCAGGUGGCUCUGAGAUAACGCUGCAAAAAAGACCCGUGCGGAACGAGCGGCUGUGGGCGGCGGAACGACGGCGGCAGCUGCUUGCAAUGGCCGGGUCCGUGCACGGCAGGAGCUGGGGAGGUCGAUUCGGAGGCGGGCGGCAGCCCCGGGGUCGCCAGUGACGUUGUGGAAGGCCGGGGCGUGGCUUCCUGGGUGGAUACAUGGCAUCUGCGGCUCUUGGGCAAAAAAGAAGAAUAGAGGUGAGGGAGAGAAGAAGGGAGAAAGGAGGGGAGGUGCGGCGUCCUAGGCGGGAGCUGGUCGGAGCGGGGCGACGGUGGGCUGGCGCAGGAGACGGAGGGAUUUAGAGCCGGCCGGUCGAGCGACACCAACCAGGCCACAGGUGGCGUACACUUUCAGCAGAAAAUGGACCACAACGAUGAACCAACUACUAUUCAGGAUUUUGAUAACCGGCCUUAACAAAAAACAUUCUGAAUUGAGUGUUUUGCAUUCAGAUAAACUAAUAGAUGGUGAUGAAUUUCCAUCACCAACUAUUUCAACAUCAUCUUUGGUCUUCAGAACCAGAUAGACACAUGAACCUCUGCCACCACUGUUAAGAAGUACCUCAGGUGAACUAUUAGCACUGCCUGUCGUCCAACAAUAACAAGCUCAGGUGUUGUAUAUGUAACCAGUUAAUAUACGUGCAAAACUUGCACAUACCCAGAAGCUGGCUGCCAGAUGAUUCCUACGAGAGAACGGACGUACUUACGCAGAUUGCUAUGGAUGUGAAGAAAUCACAUGAAGGAAGAAAACUUGCUCGGAUGCAUGGAGACAAAAACGGUGAUGCAGGGGGCAGCAACAGCGGGACGAGGUAGGCGACGAGCGAUAGAGGCCGAGGUUGGUCUAGCAGGGGCGCUGCAAGGCGACCGAGGAGAGAAGAAGAUGGGCGGCGCUCGAGGAAAUAAGAUGAUGGACGAGUCAGAGGAGACGGCCGGGGGAGGUGGCACUCGAGAUGGAUGCGGCAGCAGGAGGGGUUUGGAAUGGGGCACUAGGGUCAGGCGGGGGAGGCCGUCUUCUGCGUGCUGGUGGCCUCUCCUCCUGGCGGGUUUUUACCCCGUUCACGCACACAUCCAAUCAGCGUUACGGCGGAGACGGCAAAAGAAGCGCUCCACGUGACCACCGGCACUAGCCUCCUCAGCCGUCAGGGAUGAAGGCACCAUGCACCGGGUGUAGGCGGUAGCAAGAACGUCGGCAGCUGCAGACACAAGUUUGCCACAUUGUCAUUCAUCGCCGAGACCAUUAUGUUUCUUUUCAUGGGAUAGACGAGGUGGUUCUUGACUUCUGACCCCUCUCAUCGAUCUUCGACGACGCGCCCAACCGUGGGCCCGCGCGGUCAAAGUUGUGCAUUGGAAUUUUGAACAUCACAGACCACCCGUUUCACUCAUAUAUAUUUGGGCCACAUGCUGGUGUGGCUGUCUUCUGACCCUCUCUAACGUUAUUUUUUGCUGCAAAGACUCUGAUGACGCUCAACGGACACGGAUAUAAUACCUUAACUAUGUGCGAUACAAGUGUGCUGUGAAUCACCACGCCUGCGCAAGCGCAAGCAAAGGUGGAGGUACUGGCUCAACCAUGUGCGAUGCAAGUGCACUGUAAAAUCACCACGACCAUGCAAGCGCGAGCAAAGGGUGGAGGUACUAGCUUAACCGUGUGCGAUGCAAGUGCGCUGUAAAACCACCACCUGUGCAAGCUAAAGGCGGGUAAGUUUAUUUGGAAAUUAGGAUGAACGGUGUGUGAUAGACCAGCUAGCUAGAAAUAUAAAAAGAAACUACCCGCCUUGAGCGUUGCAAAAAUCCGCGGUUCCCUGCCACUUUUCCUUAUUAUCAUACACGCAUAUUGCUAUUGGACCAUGCACGUUCUUGGGCACUCCCGCAACACAUCAAUUCCUUUAUCCAAAUUUUAGUAGCCAUCGUACUUCAACCAUCGCCCACACUCCUUUAGCAUCGACCUUAUAGAAAAAUUGCAGUAGUCGAGGCAUUUGAACCGUUGCCCUCCCUCGUCCACCACCAUCUCCAUCCACAAUUACUAUAAUUUUCAGUACUCGCGGCAUAUCCUCAAACACCAACUCCCCCUCCACAGUCCCUCACCCGCCCCCUUCCCGCCUCGAACCCUAGCUCACGGCCGCCGCCGUCGCCGUCGCCAACCCCUGCCGGUCUGCCUGUUCCUCCUAGCUUAGAUAGUAAAGUUCAGGUUACCCAACGAUUCCCAUACCGUCGCCCCACUCCCCUGAGUUUUUAGAUGAGGCCUGCGAUGUCCCUCCCUGACAGAUCCACAUCCGUUGCUCCAGAAUGUCGCAGCCUAAGCUCGACCACAUAUCUCGGGGAGCCCGACGAGCGUUCGGCCAAGAAGAGGUUUAUCAUGGCCUCUCCGGUGGAUGUUGGCGAGGUGACCGCCGUUCGCCCUGACCUGUCGAUCCCGGAGCAACACGUCGCUGCGGAAGCCGGUGAAGACAUUGAAUAUGUUGCCAUGCCGAUGGCUUCAUGUCAGCGGGCUAGCGUAUUACUGUAUCUCGGGAAACCUGGCUACAACAUCAAGAUCGGCCACAGCGACGGCUUCAUGCGGGCCAUGUCACAGGUUAAGUGGUCCAUCCCCAACCCCUCUGGUUCAACUGCCGUCGAUCUCUUCGACGGCCCUGCCGUUGAUCUCCUCUGCCAAGCGGUCAAGGAUUUGCGAGCUUUAUACGCCAUCGAGCCCAUUUUGUCAUUUUUGAAGGACACGUUCUACGGCGACGGCUUGGGAUCCUCAAUUGACAAGUCAGCUCUCAUGGACCACGACCACGAGGAGGGCACCCACGAAGGUUCUUCCAAGGUGAAAUAGCCCAUCUGUGACAUCAGAGAGCGCACCAUGGGUCUGUGCUCUUCCAACUAGAAGGAUCCUGUCGAUGAAAUGUGAGGCAACAUUCUAUCAGCAAAUCUUACCUUUUCUAGCUUGCCAACCCGUACCCUUUGUUGU